CCGGCCAUCGUGCACAACAGUAUCAACCCUAAUUUCGUGGUGCAGAUCCGUAUCGCUAAAUUCCUCAUCCCUAAUCCCUCUCGUCCGAGUCAUCUCUCUUUAAUGGAAGCAGACCGCAUCAGAACCAUGGAUCAGCGCCGAUAUAUGUCUUCCUGCUAUAGGCAGCCAUGCCAGAUCGUUCAGCGCCACGGGGACCGAAUCGAUGGGAAGUUUGCAACAGGGAUCGGGCAAGACGAGGCAGCCGCAGCCUAGGUUUGAUAUACCUUAAUUUGUGUUCCACAGUUCUCUCUCUCUUCACGUUACCCUGUUCUGAUCUAUAGCGCUGCUUGUCCUUAAGAUUAAUUGUGUUGUUCAGGAUUGGCAAAUCCUUGGUUGUGCAAUCGAUGGGUAUACUGCCUAGCUAGUUGAGUUGCUAUUUUUUUCCGCAGAAGAUCCUACAAUAUCCUUAAAUCCUCUCAUCUAUAUAUAUGGUUAUGAUCAAGCCACAAUUACAUAUAUUAUAUGCACAUCAAUUACAGAACUUGGCAAUAGACUGGUAUCAUCUAGCCGCCUGAUGCGUACUAAUUAACCAAGUAUUACUUCAAAUGGUUCUUGAGUACCUGUGGGUUGGUAGAACAGUUUUGCUUCUCCUGUCGAUAAAUAACUGAUGCUUUCUUCAAGCCCUACUCCAAGAAAAAAAUUGCAUUGCAUAUAAUCCUGAAGAAUUAAGAUGUUUGCUUCAAACAGAAAGGUCUGAACAGUCAAUCGGAGAUUCCAUAUAUAUCUGGAGAUACUCUUAUCAAACAGGGGAAGAACUGAAGAAGAGUUUGAUAAAAAAAAUGACAGAAUAUUUAUAUUUUGCUAGGAUAGAUUUUUGUGCUAGAUAUAGCAUUACGGUGUGUUGACAAGUUGUAUGAUGAUACUUUUAUAUAAAUCAAUAU